GUUGAACGCUGGCGGCAGGCUUAACACAUGCAAGUCGAACGAGUGGCGGACGGGUGAGUUAUGCUUGUGAAUCUAGCUUAUUGAGGGGGUUAACUUCGGGAAACUGUAGCUAAUACCGCUUACCGUAGGGUGAGCGCAAGGGGGAGUAGGUAGUUGGUGGGGUAAAGGCUCACCAAGCCGGCGAUCUCUAGCUGGUCUGAGAGGAUGACCAGCCACAGUGGGACUGAGACACGGCCCAGACUCCUACGGGAGGCAGCAGUGGGGAAUAUUGCGCAAUGGGGGCAACCUGACGCAGCCAUGCCGCGUGAAUGAAGAAGGCCUUCGGGUUGUAAAGUUCUUUCGGUAGCGAGGCGUUAACUACAGAAGAAGCACCGGCUAACUCCGUGCCAGCCGCCGCGGUAAUAC
rnacentral:rRNA from 1 species